AGAGUUUGAUCCUGGCUCAGAUUGAACGCUGGCGGCAUGCCUUACACAUGCAAGUCGAACGGCAGCACGGGGGCAACCCUGGUGGCGAGUGGCGAACGGGUGAGUAAUACAUCGGAACGUGUCCUGUAGUGGGGGAUAGCCCGGCGAAAGCCGGAUUAAUACCGCAUACGCUCUACGGAGGAAAGGGGGGGAUCUUAGGACCUCCCGCUACAGGGGCGGCCGAUGGCAGAUUAGCUAGUUGGUGGGGUAAAGGCCUACCAAGGCGACGAUCUGUAGCUGGUCUGAGAGGACGACCAGCCACACUGGGACUGAGACACGGCCCAGACUCCUACGGGAGGCAGCAGUGGGGAAUUUUGGACAAUGGGGGAAACCCUGAUCCAGCAAUGCCGCGUGUGUGAAGAAGGCCUUCGGGUUGUAAAGCACUUUUGUCCGGAAAGAAAUCCUCUUCGCUAAUACCGAGGGGGGAUGACGGUACCGGAAGAAUAAGCACCGGCUAACUACGUGCCAGCAGCCGCGGUAAUACGUAGGGUGCAAGCGUUAAUCGGAAUUACUGGGCGUAAAGCGUGCGCAGGCGGUUCGCUAAGACAGAUGUGAAAUCCCCGGGCUUAACCUGGGAACUGCAUUUGUGACUGGCGGGCUAGAGUAUGGCAGAGGGGGGUAGAAUUCCACGUAGCAGUGAAAUGCGUAGAGAUGUGGAGGAAUACCGAUGGCGAAGGCAGCCCCCUGGGCCAAUACUGACGCUCAUGCACGAAAGCGUGGGGAGCAAACAGGAUUAGAUACCCUAGUAGUCC
rnacentral:rRNA from 1 species